ensembl:lncRNA
CUUUGGAGACCCCACAGCACUGGUUGCUGCUUUUGUCUUCCCUUUUUGUUGAUUAAAACAUGGAUUACACCCUCCAUUUUGACUCUGCGCCUGUGUCGUACCGCAACCUAAUCUGUGACACAAAUGAUACAAGACUAUCCCUGGCAGACUGUCAGCCAGGGAAACAGCUUUAUAACAACAAGGAACACAGACUGAGACCAAUAUCUUCUUUACAGCUGGGCCCUGUGUAUGCAUGUUUACACAUACAUUUAAGUCCACAGGUUUUAGUGGAUAUUGGACCUGGCAAGAACUGUGGCGUCCCUUAGGACCAAUAACAGGACCGGAUAACAGCCAAUAACAGGACCGGAUAACAGCCAAUAACAGGACCGGAUAACAGCCAAUAACAGGACCGG